rnacentral:rRNA from 1 species
GAUGAACGCUGGCGGCGUGCUUAACACAUGCAAGUCGAACGGAGAAGCGAGUAGCUUUCUGCUUUGUGUGGAUGAGUGGCGAGGUGGUGAAUAACACGUGAGUCUCCCUCCAACACCUUGAUAACAACCGCAUACAAGAGCUGAUACCACAGAAUAUUCUGAGCCUGAUGCUUGAUGGGUCUGGGACAGUUAUUGUUUCGCUUGGGGAUGGGUCCGCGGCGGAUCAGCUAGUUGGUGGGGUGACGGCUUACCAAGGCGGCGAUGCGUAGCCGGCCUGAGAGGAUGAUCGGCGACCACAGAACUGAGACAAGGCCCAGAAUACUACGGGAGGAAGCAGCAGGGAAUAUUACGGCACGGGCGAAAGCAUGCUGGAGCAACGACGCGUGGGUGAGGAUGGACUUCGGCUGGUAGAGAACCUCUAUCGGGGAUGAAGCAAGCCUGCCUCAUCUGUGCGUGUGUUGACGGUACCUGAAGAAGAAGCGCCGGCUAACUACGUG